rnacentral:lncRNA from 1 species
CCAUGCAUGCGCCCCUCAAGCCUUCACCUAGGAAGGUGAGGCCUAGAGCUGAACGCCUUUUAGUGCCACACACCGUGCCUCCUUGGCUUCUCCACGGCACCCAGGUCAGGAGCCUUACGGACACAGAGCUCAGAGUUACAAAGGGCUGGAGUGGCCUGGACUCCUUAUGUCUGGGAGGGAGGGAGGGAGGGCCACAGUGUCCCUUAACAAGGCUCAGGCUGCCUGGGGUAAUGUCCUCAGGCAAAAGACUUCAGUCACAGGCAAUGCACGCUCCUCGGUAACGAGGCCAGAGGUGAGACCCCCUCCAGUCCCGAAGAAUCAAGUAGUCCCACAUUCUGGAGAACCAAGGUUGUUUUUGAGCUUCAUCUCUGUCAUGGAUAAGGGAACCAGCCGUGUUUUCCUGAAGGUCCCAAGAUGGCUGUCAAAGAUGGCCGCUAACCACCAAAUGUGAUGUCUAAACAUGACAGCUUGGAGUGCAAGAAGGAAAUAGAAUUUUCCUAGAAGCAGCCAA